AUUGAACGCUGGCGGCAUGCUUUACACAUGCAAGUCGAACGGUAACAGGGUGCUUGCACCGCUGACGAGUGGCGAACGGGUGAGUAAUGCGUCGGAACGCACCGAGUAAUGGGGGAUAACGCAGCGAAAGCUGUGCUAAUACCGCAUACGCUCUGAGGAGGAAAGCGGGGGACCUUCGGGCCUCGCGUUAUUCGAGCGGCCGACGUCUGAUUAGCUAGUAGGUGAGGUAAGAGCUCACCUAGGAGACGAUUAGUAGCGGGUCUGAGAGGAUGACCCGCCACACGGGGACGGAGACACGCCCCAGACUCCUUCGGGAGGCAGCAGUGGGGAAUUGUUGACGAUGGGCGCAAGCCUGAUCCAGCCAUGCCGCGUGUCUGAAGAAGGCCUUCGGGUUGUAAAGGACUUUUGUCAGGGAGGAAAUCCUUAGCGCUAAUACCGUUGAGGGAUGACAGUACCUGAAGAAUAAGCACCGGCUAACUACGUGCCAGCCGCCGCCGUAA
rnacentral:rRNA from 1 species